rnacentral:rRNA from 1 species
CCUACGGGGGGCAGCAGUGGGGAAUAUUGCUCAAUGGGGGAAACCCUGAAGCAGCCACGCCGCGUGUAGGAUGAAGGUUUUCGGAUUGUAAACUCCUUUUGUUAGAGAAGAUAAUGACGGUAUCUAACGAAUAAGCACCGGCUAACUCCGUGCCAGAAGCCGCGGUACUACGGCGGGUGCAAGCGUUACUCGGAAUCACUGGGCGUAAAGAGCGCGUAGGCGGGAGAGCAAGUCAGAUGUGAAAUCCUAUGGCUUAACCCUAGAACUGCAUUUGAAACUGGUAUUCUAGAGUAUGGGAGAGGUAGGUGGAAUUCGUGGUGUAGGGGUAAAAUGCGUAGAGAUCGAGAGGAAUACUCAUUGCGAAGGCGACCUGCUAGAACAUAACUGACGCUGAUGCGCGAAAGCGUGGGGAGCAAACAGGAUUAGAUACCCCAGUAGUC